rnacentral:rRNA from 1 species
GCUCCAAUAGCGUAUAUUAAAGUUGUUGCAGUUAAAAAGCUCGUAGUUGGACUUUCGAUUGCUCAGGUGGUCCGCCGCAAGGUGUGUACUGCUUUUGAGUGAUCUUCCUCUCGAGGACGGCAUGUGUCCUUAAUUGUGACGUGUGUCGGACUCGGGGCUUUUACUUUGAAAAAUUAGAGUGUUCAAGCAGGCCUUCGCUU